rnacentral:tRNA from 1 species
UUUACUUUAGUAAAAGUAGAAUUAUAUUAUCUUGAUAAGGUAAAGUUAGUAAGUAAAA